CCCCAACGACCUGCGGGGGGGCGGGGGGGAUCUGGGGCGCGCCGCCGAGCUGAAUGAUUUCCAGCCUCGACUCAAUAAGAGGAGAAUUUAGAGCGGUCCCCGAGCUGGGCUCCCAGAAACAGCCUUACACGUUUAUUUUCCUUAGCUGAACAGAAUUGAGGAAGGAGGAACCAGUCUCUGAGCUGUGCGACCCCCAAGCUGCUGGCUUCUCCGACCUCAACUGUGUUAUGGAGCCGCCAGGGGGCGGCGCGACCCUGUUGGUCGCCAAGGGGAUCUCCGUGCUUCCUCGUCGAGGCUGCGACCUGUCGCUUCCAAUGCCUGGUCCUUGCAUGGCCAACGACCUCUACCCUCUCCCAGAGGCCUUAAGCUUGUAACCUGUCCCCUCCUGGACUGUGAAAAGAACAUAUAGCCCGACCUCCCUGCCAACAAGCUGUACCAUCGGGAAGAGGAGAGCCCAACGGUAGAAGCUCAUCAAUGAUUCCCAGCCUCUGUUUCCAUCAGAAUUGCUUGAUGAAGCUCCUUUAACACAAAUAGAUUUACUCACAUUCCUUAACUGUAAAAGGUGUGCAUGUGCCAGCAGGGGUUCUGGAAUCAUGUACCUUUGUCAGAGCUCCCCCAUUUAAUUCUGAUACAAUUCCACGUGGGUAUUA
rnacentral:lncRNA from 1 species